UGGCUGGAGCUGACUCACUGGCUGGAGCUGCCUCCGGGCCUUGAAGGAUGGAAGAAGCCUUCCUUCUCCUCCUCCUCCUCCUCCUCCCUUUACCGGAGUGAAGCUGAGGCUCAGCGCCCACCUCCCCUGUGCCUUCUGAAACGGAUUCCUGGGCUGGAGCAUGCAGACUGCCUGGUUGACUCGGUGAGGUCCAUUCUCUCCGAUGGCGGAGAUAUGCGGCAAAUCUCCAGAAGUCUAAAAUCCGUAGCCCUUCCAUCUCACAUUGAGGCAGAGGAUCGUCAAGGCAGCAAUUAAAGAAAUCCUUUAAAGCAGCAUCAUUGUACCCCAGCCCCACCGCCAUCGUCCAAAAGACCUUGGCGAAGCAUCCUACCUCCCAGCCGUCCUGACGUUGGGCCGUCAAAGCCCGAACUUGAGCCAUCCGCUCCCUCGUGGUGGCUGGCGGAGGAAUCCGGAAGCUCAUGCUGCUGGAUCUGUUGUCUGGUGGUUUGUUCUGUCACGGUGCACACAAGAACAAGAUGGUAAGAUCCAAGUGCAGUGAUGUUUAUUAAAGGGAACUCCAAACACGUAAUCCAAGGAACAGGCAAGGGUCAAAAUCACAGAAACAGUCCACAAAACAAAAGGCCAGAGAAACAAACGGUGCACGUAACAAAUACAACAAACCACAACUGAGGACAGAAACAACUGAGAUUAAAUGGACAGACACUGAUUACAAAAUACAUGACAGCUGGGUGUAAUGAAGUGAUAAAUGGAUAAUGAGUCCGGCAGUGCGUUAUGGGUAGUGUAGUCAAUGGGGUGAAAACAGUCCAGGAUGGAGUGCCCUCAAGUGGCUAAUUCGGGCACUCUCACUGACGGUCGUGACACGAAAUCCACCACAAGAUCAGAGAUCAUAUCAGAUCCCGAUUGUCAUAUUCACUCUGUUGAUCGUUAUGCUGUCUGCUGCAGUAAUAGGUUUAUUAAUGAUGAACCGUAAACUGUCUCAGAAGAUUCCCAAAUAUGUAAAUGGUCAUCAGAUUUCGGAAAGAAGAAUAACUUCCAUUCCGACCAGCGGCACUGUUGUUCCUCCUCAGAAUCCACUGACCGAUCAUGAAUAUCUAGAAGUACUGCCAUACUCGAAAUAACAUACUGACAGAUUGAUUGUUGUUUGAUUCUAAUGAUCAGAACUGUGUGCUGCUUGAACAUUAAAUGUCAAUCAAGUUUUAUAAUAUAACUUUGGAUUUGAGAAUAUAUCAACUUUGUAAUGUUUUUGAUUGUUUAUGUUGCUUUGAGUUGCUUACAGUUUUU